rnacentral:rRNA from 1 species
UACGUAGGGUGCAAGCGUUAAUCGGAAUUACUGGGCGUAAAGCGUGCGCAGGCGGUGCUGUAAGACAGAUGUGAAAUCCCCGGGCUCAACCUGGGAACUGCAUUUGUGACUGCAUCGCUGGAGUACGGCAGAGGGGGAUGGAAUUCCGCGUGUAGCAGUGAAAUGCGUAGAUAUGCGGAGGAACACCGAUGGCGAAGGCAAUCCCCUGGGCCGGUACUGACGCUCAUGCACGAAAGCGUGGGGAGCAAACAGG